rnacentral:rRNA from 1 species
GACGUAGGGCGCGAGCGUUGUCCGGAAUUAUUGGGCGUAAAGGGCUCGUAGGCGGUUUGUCGCGUCGGGAGUGAAAUCCACUGGCUUAACUGGUGGCUUGCUUUCGAUACGGGCAGACUGGAGGUAUGCAGGGGAGAACGGAAUUCCUGGUGUAGCGGUGAAAUGCGCAGAUAUCAGGAGGAACACCGGUGGCGAAGGCGGUUCUCUGGGCAUGUCCUGACGCUGAGGAGCGAAAGCGUGGGGAGCGAACAGG